UAGGGAAUCUUCCGCAAUGGGCGAAAGCCUGACGGAGCAACGCCGCGUGAGUGAUGAAGGUCUUCGGAUAGUAAAACUCUGUCAUUAGGGAAGAACAAAUGUGUAAGUAACUAUGCACGUCUUGACGGUACCUAAUCAGAAAGCCACGGCUAACUACGUGCCAGCAGCCGCGGUAAUACGUAGGUGGCAAGCGUUAUCCGGGAUUAUUGGGCGUAAAGCGCGCGUAGGCGGUUUUUUCAGUCUGAUGUGAAAGCCCACGGCUCAAACGUGGAGGGUAAUUGGAAACUGGGAAACUUGAGUACAGAAGAGGAAAGUGGAAUAACAUGUGUAGCGGUGAAAUGCGCAGAGAUAUGGAGGAACACCAGUGGCGAAGGCGACUUUCUGGUCUGUAACUGACGCUGAUGUGCGAAAGCGUGGGGAUCAAACAGG
rnacentral:rRNA from 1 species